UGGGUUUUAUUCUGGCUCGGAGUGAAUGCUUGUGAUAGGCUUAACACAUGCAAGUUAUACAUUUUUUAUCAUGGAAAUGAGUAAUUACUAUAAGUAGCGGAAUAAAAAAUGUAGCGAACGGGUGUAUAAUAUAUAUUGAAUAUACCUCUGAGUUUGGAAUGUAUAUUAAAAAAUAAUAUGAAUUCCAUUAAUAGUAAAAUAUAUAUUAUUGCUUAGAGAUUUUCAUAUAGAGUUUUAGGUAGUUGGUGAGAUUAAAAGCUCACCAAGCCAAAAAUGCUUAGCUGUUCUGGGAGGUUGUUCAGCCACAUGGGAACUGAGAAACGGUCCUAAUUUCAUUUGAAAUCAGCAGUGGGGAAUCUUGGUCAAUGAGCGAAAGCUUGAACCAGGUAUAUCAUGUGAGUGAGGACGGCGCAUUUAGUCGUAAAACUCUUGCUCCGUGGAAAAUGAUGAUGGUACACGGGAGCAAGCGCUGGCCAAUACUCGUGCCAGCCGCCGCGGUAAUACGAGUAGCGCGAGUGUUACUCUCCUUGACUGGGCGUAAAGGGUGCGUAGGUUGUGUAAUAAGUUUUAAGUGAAAUUUUAUAUAUAUGAUAAUAUACUUUUAAUACUAUUACGCUAGAGUUUAUUAGGAGUUAACGGAACCUCUAUAAUCAGAGUUGAAAUGCGUUAAAGAUAGAGAGAACUCCAAUGGCGAAAGCAGUUAACUAUAGUAGACUGACACUGAGGCACGAAGGCAUGGGAAUCGAAGAGGAUUAGGUACCCUCGUAGUCUAUGCUGUCAACGAUGAAUGUUAAAGGGUAGUGUUAACUAUUCUUACAGCUAACGCGUUAAACAUUCCGCCUGGGAACUACGAUCGCAAGAUUAAAACCUAAAGAAAUUGACGGAGAUCUGCUACAAGCAGUGGAGCAUGUGAUUUAAUUCGAUACACCGCGAGAAAUCUUACCAAUCCUUGUCAUAUUAGAUAUAGAUAGUAGAUAUUGUAGUAAUAUACAAUAAAUGAUUUCUAUCUCUCAUAAAGCAUAAAACAGGACGAUAGUUUCAUAGCAUUGUCUAUAUAUAUAUAAUAUCUAAUACAGGUGUUGCAUGGCUGUCGUAAGUUCGUGUUGUGAGGCGUUAGGUUAAUUCCCAUGAACGAACGAGACCCUCAUUUAUAUUUAAGUUACGCACUAACAAAAAAACUAUAAAAUUAGGGGAUGACGUCAAGUCAUUAUGGCCUUAAUGGGUUGGGCUAUCCAUGUGCUACAUAGGUAACAACAAAAAGAUGCAAUGAUGUGAAUCGGAGCAAAACUAAAAAAGUUAUCAUAGUUCGGAUUGUUCUCUGAAACUCGAGAACAUGAAGUAGGAAUUGCUAGUAAUCGUAAAUAAGUACGUUACGGUGAAUGUGUGUCCAGAUCUUGUACAUACCGCCCGUCACGCCAUGGAAGUUGGUAGUCCUGUAUGGUAUUAUUAGAUUUCGUAUAAUUCGCAAGGAUGAGCGAAUAAAAAUAAUAGGUAAGGGAUUAUUAAUAACUGAGGUAAAGUCGUAACAUGGUAGUCGUAGAGGAAUCUGUGGCUGGAACAAGG
rnacentral:rRNA from 1 species